UAAUAUAUCGGAACGUAUCCAAUAAUGGGGGAUAACUAGUCGAAAGAUUAGCUAAUACCGCAUACGCCCCUCGAGGGGGGAAAGCUGGGGGAGUCUUCGGACCUAGCGUUAAUGGAGCGGCCGAUAUCUGAUUAGCUAGUAGGUGAGGUAAGAGCUCACCUAGGCGACGAUCAGUAGCUGGUCUGAGAGGACGACCAGCCACACUGGAACUGAGACACGGUCCAG
rnacentral:rRNA from 1 species